rnacentral:misc_RNA from 1 species
AAGACUAUAGACCUGCGGAGUACCUGCGGAAGGAUCAUUAAAGAGUUAGGGUCUCUCCAGGCCCGACCUCCCAACCCUUUGUUUACUUUGCUGCAUGUUGCUUUGGCGGACCCGUCUCACGACCGCCCUGGGACCGCCGAGAGGUGCCCCUGGGCCCGUGUCCGCCGAUAGCCAACCUAAACUCUUGAAUGAAUCGUGUUUUAUGUCUGAGUCUAUUGAUUAAAUCAAAAGCAAAAACUU